CCUACGGGUGGCAGCAGUGAGGAAUAUUGGUCAAUGGGCGCGAGCCUGAACCAGCCAAGUAGCGUGAAGGAUGACUGCCCUACGGGUUGUAAACUUCUUUUAUCAAGGAGUAAAUUGAGGCACGUGUGCCUUUUUCUAUGGUCUUUGUAGAUAAGGCACGGGUAAAUCCCUUCCAGCCGCCGCGGUAAUACGGAGGGUAGGGGCGUUUACCGGAUUUAUUGGGGUUAAAGGGAUCGUAGAUGGGUAGUUAAGGCAGUUGUGAAAGUUUGCGGGCCAACCGUAAAAUUGCAAUUGAUACUGGUAGUCUUGAGUACAGGUGAGGUAGGCGGAAUUCGUGGUGUAGCGGUGAAAUGCUUAGAUAUCACGAAGAACUCCGAUUGCGAAGGCAGCUUACUAAACUGCCACUGACAUUGAUGCUCGAAAGUGUGGGUAUCAAACAGGAUUAGAUACCCUUGUAGUC
rnacentral:rRNA from 1 species